UUCGCCCAUUUUGUCAUUAGAGGAAGUAAAAGUCGUAACAAGGUUUCCCUCCGCAGCUGAGCCUCGGGACCUUGCACCCCUCUGGGGGGGCAGCGCGACUAUAAAUAAGGCUGGCCCUUGCAAGUUGACCGUGAGGUCAGCGACAUAAUCGAAUUGACGGGGACUCUUAAAGCCUGCAGCACCACCUAGACGGGGAAACCCGUUUAGUACGGUAGAGCCUGUAGGAUACACAAUGGAUAAUCCGCAGCCGAGCCCCUACUGCGAAGCCACGGGGAAGGUUCACAGACUAGGUGAUUAUGGGUCCAGCCGCUUUUGGAUCUAAGAUAUAGUCGGUCUCUGGGGGAAAUCCCAGGGGUUUCAGGUCCGUAGGUGAACCUGCGGAAGGAUCAUUAAUGUAACCGGACCGGUCCUUGCCGUAAAACGCACCGGAUUGGAAAGGGAGAUAUCAUACACCCUGUGUUAUUUACCUUUGUUGCUUUGGCGGGCCGUCCUUUAGGCGUCGGCCCCGCUGAUCGCGCCCGCCAGAGGACCCAAACUCUUUUAUCAGUGAUGUCUGAUACUAUAUAAUAGUUAAAACUUUCAACAACGGAUCUCUUGGUUCUGGCACGAUGAAGAACGCAGCGAAAUGCGAUAAGUAAUGUGAAUUGCAGAAUUCGUGAAUCAUCGAAUCUUUGAACGCACAUUGCGCCCGCUGGUAUUCCGGCGGCAUGCCUGUUCGAGCGUCAUUAUGACCAAUCAAGCUCUGCUUGGCCUGGGGCCCGCUGUACCGGCGGCCCUUAAAAUUAGUGGCGGUGCCGUCUGGUCUAAGCGUAGUAAUACUUCUCGCUAUAGGGUCCAGUCGUUUACCCGCCGAACCCCCAACUUUCUUAGGUUGACCUCGGAUCAGGUAGGGAUACCCGCGAACUUAAGCAUAUCAAUAAGCGGAGGA
rnacentral:rRNA from 1 species